GAGCUGUGAUGACUUCUUAGGACACCUUUGGAUUAAAGCUGAAAAGAACUCGUUAACACACCUGAGCUGU